rnacentral:rRNA from 1 species
GAUUUCAAUUUAACUUGAGAGUAUAGUUAUUACUAAUAUUUGAGGUGGGGUUAAUUUUAACUUAAGAAUAUAAAUUUUAUUAAUUUUUUUGAAAAAGUUGAUUGUUAGUGAUAGGUUAAUAGUGCUGUGAAGGAAAAAAUUUUACUAUAAUAAAGAAGAAUUAAUUAUUUGUACCUUGUGUAUCAGGGUUGACUAAAUUUAUUUACAUGUAAAGUGUUAAUCCCGAAUUUAAAAGAGUUAGCUUUAUAUUUUCUUAGUGUUUCAUAAUUAUUAUAAAUUUAGGGCUAGCAGUGAAAUGUUAUUCGCUUUUAAAGAUAUCUGGUUUAUUGAGAAAUUAAUUGAAUUAAUUUAUCUUGAAAUAUAAAUUUUAUUAUAUAAUUUUGUAUUAUGGUUAGAAAAGAUUAUUAGGGAAAAGCUUAAUAAUUAAUGAUUAUUUAUUUAUUAAAUUUACUAGACUUAUUUAUGGGAUUGAAGGUUUCUAUUAUUAUUAGUGUGUUAUAACUAGUUUCAGGGGAGUUUAAUAUUUUUAUGUAUAAUAAUUGUUUUAUCAAUAUUUCUGGUAGAAUGGUGUUACUGUUGUAAUAAUGGUUGAAUUAGUAUAUAAAUUUAUAUAUUUACAUUUUUUAUAUAGAUAUAGGAAAGGAACUCGGCAAUUUAUCUUUUCACCUGUUUAUUAAAAACAUGUCUUCAUGGUAAUGAUGUGAAGUCGGCCCUGCCCAAUGAUUGUUUAAAUGGCCGCAGUAUUUUGACUGUGCAAAGGUAGCAUAAUCAUUUGCCUCUUAAUUAGGGGCUGGAAUGAAGGGGUUGAUGAAAAAGGUUCUGUCUCUUUUAUAUAAUUAGAAGUUUAUUUUUAAGUUAAAAAGCUUAAAUAUUUUUAAAAGACGAGAAGACCCUAUAGAGUUUUAUAUAUCUUGGGAUUUUAUUUUAAGGGUAUAUAUUUAAUAAUAUUUUCAAGGAAUAUUUAGUUGGGGUGACUAUGAAAUGUGCUUAACUUUCAUUGAUUUUUAAUAUUUAUGAAUAGAUAAUAUUUAAAUGAUCCAAUCAUUGUUGAUUAUUAGAUAAAAUUACCUUAGGGAUAACAGCGUAAUUUUUUUUUAGAGUUCUUAUCGAUAAAAGAGAUUGCGACCUCGAUGUUGGAUUAAAAUUAAUACUUAGGGGUAGAUUCUAAGUUAUUAGGUCUGUUCGACCUUUAAAAUUUUACAUGAUCUGAGUUUAGACCGGCGUGAGCCAGGUUGGUUUCUAUCUUUAAAGAAUUAAGAAGUUUUAGUACGAAAGGACCAAGCUUUUGAUUAAUAAUUUGAUUUAUUGAAUAUUAAUGUUAUUUUGGCAGAAUAGUGCAAUAGAUUUAGAAUCUUUAUAUAUAAUUUAAGUUAUAAAUAA